rnacentral:rRNA from 1 species
UACGUAGGUGGCAAGCGUUGUCCGGAUUUACUGGGCGUAAAGCGCGUUCAGGCGGUUUGGCAAGUCGGGCAUGAAAUCUCUCGGCUCAACCGGGAGAGGUUGUCCGAUACUGCUGGACUUGAGGGCAGUAGAGGGUGGUGGAAUUCCGGGUGUAGUGGUGAAAUGCGUAGAUAUCCGGAGGAACACCAGUGGCGAAAGCGGCCACCUGGACUGCACCUGACGCUGACACGCGAAAGCUAGGGGAGCGAACGGG